GACAGAGGGGGCAAGCGUUGCUCGGAAUCACUGGGCGUAAAGGGCGCGUAGGCGGGAUGGCAAGUCAGUCGUGAAAUCUCUCGGCUCAACCGAGAAACGUCGGCUGAUACUGCCGUUCUUGAGGGAUGCAGAGGAGACUGGAAUUCCCGGUGUAGCGGUGAAAUGUGUAGAGAUCGGGAGGAAUACCUGUGGCGAAAGCGGCGCACUGGACCAUAACUGACGCUGAGGCGCGAAAGCUAGGGGAGCAAACAGG
rnacentral:rRNA from 1 species